rnacentral:rRNA from 1 species
UGGGGAAUUUUGGACAAUGGGGGCAACCCUGAUCCAGCCAUCCCGCGUGUGCGAUGAAGGCCUUCGGGUUGUAAAGCACUUUUGGCAGGGAAGAAACAGCCUGGGAUAAUACCCCGGGCGACUGACGGUACCUGCAGAAUAAGCACCGGCUAACUACGUGCCAGCAGCCGCGGUAAUACGUAGGGUGCAAGCGUUAAUCGGAAUUACUGGGCGUAAAGCGUGCGCAGGCGGUUCGGAAAGAAAGGUGUGAAAUCCCAGGGCUUAACCUUGGAACUGCACUUUUAACUACCGAGCUAGAGUACGUCAGAGGGGGGUAGAAUUCCACGUGUAGCAGUGAAAUGCGUAGAGAUGUGGAGGAAUACCGAUGGCGAAGGCAGCCCCCUGGGAUGAUACUGACGCUCAUGCACGAAAGCGUGGGGAGCAAACAGGAUUAGAUACCCUGGUAGUCCACGCCCUAAACGAUGUCAACUAGUUGUUGGGGAUUCAUUUCCUUAGUAACGUAGCUAACGCGUGAAGUUGA